rnacentral:rRNA from 1 species
CAGAGGUUACUGCUAUCGAGAUUCGACUAAGCCAUGCGAGUUGAAUGUUCUUCGUGAACAUGGCGGACUGCUCAGUAACACGUGGACAACCUACCCUUGGGUCCGGCAUAAUCCUGGGAAACUGGGAAUAAUUCCGGAUAGGUCACCGAUGCUGGAAUGCGCGGUGGCCGAAAGCUCCGGCGCCCGAGGAUGGGUCUGCGGCCUAUCAGGGUUGUAGUGGGUGUAACGUACCUACUAGCCUACGACGGGUACGGGUUGUGAGAGCAAGAGCCCGGAGAUGGAUUCUGAGACACGAAUCCAGGCCCUACGGGGUGCAGCAGGCGCGAAAACUUUACAAUGCGGGAAACCGUGAUAAGGGGAUCUCGAGUGCCAGCAUAUAAUGUUGGCUGUCCAGAUGCCUAAAAAGCAUCUGUUAGCAAGGGCCGGGCAAGACCGGUGCCAGCCGCCGCGGUAACACCGGCGGCCCGAGUGGUAACCGCUAUUAUUGGGUCUAAAGGGUCUGUAGCCGGCCAGGUAAGUCCCUUGGGAAAUCUGGCAGCUCAACUGUCAGGCUGCUAGGGGAUACUGUUUGGCUUGGGACCGGGAGAGGUGAGAGGUACCUUGGGGGUAGGGGUGAAAUCUUGUGAUCCUCGAGGGACCACCAGUGGCGAAGGCGUCUCACCAGAACGGGUCCGACGGUAAGGGACGAAAGCUAGGGGCACGAACCGGAUUAGAUACCCGGGUAGUCCUAGCCGUAAACGAUGCUCGCUAGGUGUCAGUCACGGUGCGACCGUGAUUGGUGCCGUAGGGAAGCCGUGAAGCGAGCCACCUGGGAAGUAUGGCCGCAAGGCUGAAACUUAAAGGAAUUGGCGGGGGAGCACUACAWCGGGYGGAGCCUGCGGUUUAAUUG